AGAGUUUGAUCAUGGCUCAGAACUAACGCUUGGCGGCGUGCCUAACACAUGCAAGUCGAACGAGAAAGUCGGCUUCGGCCGAUAAGUAAAGUGGCGCACGGGUGAGUAACGCGUGGGUAAUCUGCCCCCCGGUCAGGAAUAACCCGCCGAAAGGCGGGCUAAUACCCGAUAACACUGACACUCUGCGGAGUGUCUUUCAAAGAAGGCCUCUGUUUACAAGCUUUCGCCGGAGGAUGAGCCCGCGUACCAUUAGCUAGUUGGUAGGGUAAUGGCCUACCAAGGCAACGAUGGUUAGCUGGUCUGAGAGGAUGACCAGCCACACUGGAACUGAGAUACGGUCCAGACUCCUACGGGAGGCAGCAGUGAGGAAUCUUGCGCAAUGGGGGAAACCCUGACGCAGCAACGCCGCGUGAGUGAGGAAGGCUUUCGGGUCGUAAAGCUCUGUCGGAUGGGAAGAAAUGGUUGGAAGUUAAUACCUUCCAUCCUUGACGGUACCAUCAGAGGAAGCACCGGCUAACUCCGUGCCAGCAGCCGCGGUAAUACGGGGGGUGCAAGCGUUGUUCGGAAUCAUUGGGCGUAAAGCGCGCGCAGGCGGCUUGGUAAGUCAGAUGUGAAAUCCCUGGGCUUAACCCAGGAAGUGCAUUUGAUACUGCCUCGCUAGAGUACGGGAGAGGAAAGUGGAAUUCCUGGUGUAGAGGUGAAAUUCG
rnacentral:rRNA from 1 species